rnacentral:tRNA from 1 species
GCAUCGGUGGUUCAGUGGUAGAUUUCUCACCUUCCAUUUAGGAGACCUAGGUUCAAUUCCUGGCCAAUUCA